GUCCAGACUCCUACGGGAGGCAGCAGUGGGGGAUAUUGCACAAUGGGGGAAACCCUGAUGCAGCAACGCCGCGUGAGUGAAGAAGUAUUUCGGUAUGUAAAGCUCUAUCAGCAGGGAAGAGAAUGACGGUACCUGACUAAGAAGCCCCGGCUAACUACGUGCCAGCAGCCGCGGUAAUACGUAGGGGGCGAGCGUUAUCCGGAAUUACUGGGUGUAAAGGGAGCGUAGACGGCGAAGUAAGCCUGAAGUGGAAGCCCGCGGCCCAACCGCGGAACUGCUUUGGGAACUGUUUUGCUGGAGUAUGGGAGGGGUAAGCGGAAUUCCUGGUGUAGCGGUGAAAUGCGUAGAUAUUAGGAGGAACACCAGUGGCGAAGGCGACGUUCUGGACUGUACCUGACGCUGAGGCGCGAAAGCGUGGGUAGCGAACGGGAUUAGAUACCCCAGUACGC
rnacentral:rRNA from 1 species